GCUGGGUGUGGUGGUGCACAUCUGUAAUCCUAGCAGCUCAGGAGGCUGAGGCAGGAGGAUCCUGAGUUCAAAGCCAGCCUCAUCAAAAAUGAGGCUCUAGGAAAGUUAGUGAGACCCUGUCUCCA
rnacentral:sRNA from 1 species